rnacentral:lncRNA from 1 species
GAUAAAUCCAAGAUGGCCGACGGGCCGAAGCUCGCAAGCGCUCCACGCUUAGUUCACGGGACGACGCCGGCGUUUACUAAAUCGAUUACUAAAAGCUACGUCACUGGGUCAUAUUGUACGACUCGGUCGCGUCAUAUCCGUCACCAAUAAUUCUUGGAUAGGACGCGGUUACACAUUUUGAAUGGAAGGGGGAUUUUUUACCUGAGGACUAUUUACGAAUAAGGCGUGCAGAUAACGGAAAACGAUACAAGCUGUUAUAAAUUUAUCCAAUCGAUCAACACAGUUAUUAUGCCCUCAAAUAGCUGUACCCCCCUUAAGGUGACCAGCCAUCAGCCGAGGAUGAAUAUCGAUCGUUGUCGGUUACGAGGGGCAGAAUUGAAAGUGAGGAAAAGACGCAAUUUCGAACGAUUCAAAUACUCAUCACGGCAUGUAAGAUACGAGGACAUUCGUUGCAGUUACUCGAUACGCUACAUGGUGAACGUCGGAUCUAAGUGAUUCACCAGAGCAUCCAGUGACGCAGUUUGACUGACGUAAACUGGGGCUUAUCGUUGACUACAGAGCACCGAAAGUGGUCCAGAAAAGCCAGAGACCAACAGUGAACGACGGCGAGAUUAGAUAAGCCAGCUCACUGCAUAUACUUGAUUGAUGAUAAGCGGAGU